GGGACUACUAAGGAUUUCUUAACUUCUUUGAGGAGGAAGAAGAAGAAGCAAAGACAAAAAAGUGUUGAAAAUCUAGAAGCAAUCUUCAAUUACUCACAGCAACCUACUUUACAACCACCUCCGUCCCCCCCUCCGCCGCCGCCACCUCCUCCUCCUGCACCUUUCUUCCAGAACCUGUUCUCCUCCAAGAAAGGCAAGUCAAAGAAAUCCAUUCAGUCCCCCCACCACCCCCGCCGCCACCGCCACCAGCGUCAUUCCAGUCACGUGCUUCAGAAACCAGAUCAAGGAAAUCAGAAACCAGGUCUCAGAAAGCACCAUUCCCCUCUCAAGAACCUAACAUUCCUGCUAAGGUAAACAAGUUUAACAGAAGAGAGGAAAGUACAAUGAUUGGCAAUGAAUCACCAUUGAUUCCAAUCCCGCCGCCGCCACCUCCGCCUCCGUUCAAAAUGCCGGCGUGGAAGUUCGUAGUUCAAGGUGACUACGUUAGACUGGAAAGCAUUAGCAGCUCGCGAAGUGGGUCACCUGAUUUAGAUGAGGUUGAAGAGAAAAAUGAUUCUAGUUCGGAAAUGAAGGG
rnacentral:lncRNA from 1 species